rnacentral:rRNA from 1 species
AGAGUUUGAUCCUGGCUCAGGAUGACCGCUAGCGGGAGGCUUAACACAUGCAAGUCGAGGGGCAGCAUCAGUACUUGUACUGGAUGGCGACCGGCGCACGGGUGAGUAACGCGUAUGCAACCUACCUUUUACAGGGGGAUAGCCCGGAGAAAUCCGGAUUAAUACCCUAUAGUUCCAUAAUUUCACCUGAUUUUAUGGAUAAAGUUUCGGCGGUAUGAGAUGGGCAUGCGUGACAUUAGCUGGUUGGUAGGGUAACGGCCUACCAAGGCGACGAUGUCUAGGGGUUCUGAGAGGAUUAUCCCCCACACUGGUACUGAGACACGGACCAGACUCCUACGGGAGGCAGCAGUGAGGAAUAUUGGUCAAUGGGCGCAAGCCUGAACCAGCCAUCCCGCGUGCAGGAUGACGGCCCUACGGGUUGUAAACUGCUUUUAUAUGCCAAGAAUAGUGCCUACGUGUAGGUAUUUGACGGUAGCAUAUGAAUAAGCAUCGGCUAACUCCGUGCCAGCAGCCGCGGUAAUACGGAGGAUGCAAGCGUUAUCCGGAUUCAUUGGGUUUAAAGGGUGCGUAGGCGGCAUUUUAAGUCAGUGGUGAAAUCCUGCGGCUCAACCGUAGAACUGCCAUUGAAACUGAAAUGCUUGAGUACACUGGAGGUAAGCGGAAUGUGUAGUGUAGCGGUGAAAUGCUUAGAUAUUACACAGAACACCGAUUGCGAAGGCAGCUUACCAUAGUGUCACUGACGCUGAUGCACGAAAGCGUGGGUAGCGAACAGGAUUAGAUACCCUGGUAGUCCACGCCGUAAACGAUGAUAACUCGCUGUUGGCGAUACACAGUCAGCGGCUUAGCGAAAGCAUUAAGUUAUCCACCUGGGGAGUACGGUCGCAAGAUUGAAACUCAAAGGAAUUGACGGGGGCCCGCACAAGCGGAGGAACAUGUGGUUUAAUUCGAUGAUACGCGAGGAACCUUACCUGGGCUUAAAUGUAUUAGGAUUGUAUUGGAAACAGUAUUUCCCUUCGGGGCCUUUUACAAGGUGCUGCAUGGUUGUCGUCAGCUCGUGCCGUGAGGUGUCGGGUUAAGUCCCAUAACGAGCGCAACCCUUACCGUUAGUUGCUAACAGGUCAAGCUGAGGACUCUGGCGGGACUGCCACCGUAAGGUGAGAGGAAGGUGGGGAUGACGUCAAAUCAGCACGGCCCUUAUGUCCAGGGCUACACACGUGUUACAAUGGCCGGUACAAAGGGCAGCUACCUGGUGACAGGAUGCUAAUCCCUAAAGCCGGUCCCAGUUCGGAUCGGAGUCUGCAACCCGACUCCGUGAAGCUGGAUUCGCUAGUAAUCGCGCAUCAGCCAUGGCGCGGUGAAUACGUUCCCGGGCCCUGUACACACCGCCCGUCAAACCAUGGAAGCUGGGAGUGCCUGAAGUCUGUUACCGCGAGGGGCGGCCUAGGGUAAAACUGGUGACUGGGGUUAAGUCGUAACAAGGUA